rnacentral:rRNA from 1 species
ACGCUCGACACCUACGGAGGCAGCAGUCGGGAAUAUUGCGCAAUGGAGGAAACUCUGACGCAGUGACGCCGCGUGCAGGAAGAAGGUUUUCGGAUUGUAAACUGCCUUAGACAGGGAAGAAAGAAAUGACAGUACCUGUAGAAUAAGCUCCGGCUAACUACGUGCUAGCAGCCGCGGUAAUCUGAGCGGGCUGGCAAGGC